rnacentral:rRNA from 1 species
AGUUUCGAGUCCUGGACUCAGGACGAACGCUGGCGGCGUGCCUAACACAUGCAAGUCGAACGGGACUAUGCCGAUUAAUCUUCGGAAGCGUUGGCAUAGUUUAGUGGCGGACGGGUGAGUAACACGUGAGCAACCUGCCUUUCAGAGAGGGAUACCGUUUGGAAACGAACGCUAAUACCUCAUAACGUAUCGUGACCGCAUGAUCGUGAUACCAAAGGAGCGAUCCGCUGAAAGAUGGGCUCGCGGCUGAUUAGGAUAGUUGGUGGGGUAACGGCCUACCAAGUCGACGAUCAGUAGCCGGACUGAGAGGUUGAACGGCCACAUUGGGACUGAGACACGGCCCAGACUCCUACGGGAGGCAGCAGUGGGGAGUAUUGCGCAAUGGGGGCAACCCUGACGCAGCAACGCCGCGUGUGGGAAGAAGGUCUUCGGAUUGUAAACCAUUGUCCUUGGUGAAGAUCAUGACGGUAGCCGAGGAGGAAGCCACGGCUAACUACGUGCC